ensembl:lncRNA
UUAAAUUAGGUUUUGCGUUCACAGGGUUCGAUCAUCAAAAAGCUUUUUGAAAAGGGGGAAGUGUCCCACCCACGCCUGAUUCCCAGCCCACGCGCCCCUCCAGACAUCCACGGUGACUUGUCUUGUGUUCAUCCUUCUGGGUCUCUGUGCACACACAGCCUGGAGCAAACAGGGAUUAACUUUUCUCUCCUUCCCUCUUAACCCGGAAGGCGACAUGAGACGCUGACUCUGGCAGCACACGGACAGUGUCCCCAGUCCUUGUGAUGGUCACAAAGUCUUCCUCUGUACGAUUAGGGGUGGACUGUCAUUCGCACCCCAGUAAAUGCUGUUUCAAUGCACGCCUGACCACGUCCUGGCCUCGGCCCUCCUUUCAGAGCUGUCGUAAAAACCUUGUGCACCUGUCAUUUCCCACACGUGCGGGUGUAUCUGUCUGGAUCAAAGCAAACAUGAGCUUAUAAUUUGGGUAGCUGCUGCUGAAUGGCAUUCCUCGAGUUGUAGCAAACUGUGCCAGUUUAGACCCCCACGGGCAAUAUACGACAGUGUGUUGAUGAGAGAUAUGGCUUAUUCCGAAUGUGAUGAAUGAAAAUGGUUCCAUCAGGUUCCUUUGAUUUGCAUUUCUGUUACAGGUAAGGUGGAGCAUCUCUUGAAAUACUUAAGCUUCUUGUGUUUCCUUUUCUGUACACUGUCUGAUCAUAUCCUUUGCCUCCCUCUUCUCACUAAUUGUUAUUCUUAGUGAUUUCUAGAGGCUCUUUAUAUAUGAGAGAGAGGAACUUCGUGCUAUGGCUUGCAGCUGUUUCCACCAGUGUGUCAUUUGGUUUUGACUUGGUUUGUGGUGUGUGUGAGUGUGUAUGCAUGUGUAUGUAUCUAUUUGUCUCUGCAUUUUUAAUGAAAAUAGAUAAAAAAAAAUUUUAAGUUUUGGGUAUUUUUUUAGCUUCCUUUUAAAAUUAUUUCAAACCUGUAGCAAAGUUGCAAGAAUAGUACAGAGAACUCAUGGGAGUUCUUUACUCUUUAACCACACGUAUUAGUCAUCCACUGCUGUGUAACAAAUUACCCCCAAGCUUACUAGCAGCUUCACACAACAAACACUGACUUACCUCACACAGUGUCUAAGGAUCAGGAACCUGGAAGUGGUUUGGCUGGAGGGUUCUGGUUCACGUUCUCUCAUGUGCUGAUGGUCAAGAUGUCAGCGAGGGCCGUGGUCAUCAGAAGGCUUGACUGGGCUGGAGGAUGCACUUUCAAGAUGGCUCAGGCAGGUGGUCUGUUGGCGGGGUGCCUCAGCUUCUCCCUACAUGGGCUUCUUCAAAGGGGGGACUCCUGACAGGCUCCACAGUUGGCUUCCCCCAGAGGCAACGAUCCAAUGGAAAGAGAACGGGAGAGUGCCCAGGCUGGAGGCCGCAGUCUGUUUCAUAACCUAAUCUCAAAAUUAGCAUAUGAUCACUUCCGCCAAAUCCUAUUGGUCAGCGAGACCAGCCCUGGUACCCCGUGGGAGGAGACGGACCCUGAGGAGGUGGGGAUUGCUGGGGGCCCAUUUGGAAGCUGGCUGCCUUGCCAGAUUUACCCCCUCUAAGUAUUUUUCUACGUUUGCUUUAUCUUUAGCUCUUUCAAUAUGCAGACUAGUUUUUCUGCAUCAUUUGAGAGUAAAUUGCAGACAUUACGCUCCUUUACUCCCUAACAUUUCAGCCUUGGAGAACAAGAACAUUCUCUUAACCACAGGAGAGUUAUCAAAUUCAGCAGAUUCAGCUUGGAGACGAUCCUGUCGUCCAGUUCGCUGUCCGUAAUGCAGUUUAGCCAGUUGUCCAGCGAUCACGUGGCGUCUUGUUUGGCUUGUUUCACGUAGCGUUCUGGCAUGUGUGCGUCGGCCCCUUCGCUGGGCCCCGGGAGCUGAGUUGAGGGCCAUGUGGACGGGCCAGCUCUCUCGUCCUCACUCACCUAGCUGCUCACCUCCUGCUGACCAUUUGGGUCGUUUUCCUAUUUUCUCUAUUGUCAACACCCCUCCAGUGGACGGCCCUGUGACCCAGUGCCUGAAUGCCCCUCAUCACAGAUUCCUGGUAGUGGAAAGGCCAGGUCAAAGGUCAUGGCCUUUUCAAAGUCACCAGAUCAACCGGCUUCCGGAGGGUUGUCCAGGUGACAAUGUCACCAGCACCCCGAGUGUCGAGGGCUGGCCUUCUGAUCUGUCCUUGGAGGUGGCACGCCUUCAAAGACGUAUAGAUUGAUUGCCUGGCUGGUUUUUAUUUGGAAUUUCUGGAGUCACUCAGGGCUGAGCUCGGAGGCCUAAAGCGAGUCAGGACUCUGAAAUCACGAGUCAGCCCACCAGGGAGGCCCGAAGCGGAGGGCCCCUGCUCGGGAGUGUGGCAGCAUUAGGUGGCAAGUCCCCUGAGUCCGCUGAGCCUGGGUCCUCCUCCGUCGGCUUUGAAGUCGCUGGGUGAUGGGGAGGCAGGGAGGCGACCUGUCUGGAGACUCUGGACCAGGCAUCUUGGCUCCCUUGCCUCAGUUUAUCAUCUGUGAAAUGGGUCCGAUGUUGUCACAGCUCUCAGGGCCGUGGAGAGACCACGUGAGCGGAUAAAGGGGCCAGCCUGCGGUUGGGUACACAGCUGGCGCUCCUGGUUAAAGCGUGGCGGCCGAGGCCAGGAUCCUGGGGAGGGGCCUCUGGUGGGGGCGUGCAGGGGGCCGAGGCGCUCUGGCGCAGGCUGUUCGAGGCGAGGGCGCUGUGUGCGUGUUACAGAACUAAUGCCGGAUCAUGUGUGCAAGUCUGAUGCCCGUGCGCGUGCACAGCACCCACACACUGACACACCAGCAACACGGCCACGCAGCACACGGAGGCAGAGGCCCUGGACACUCACAGGGGGCCUGGCCCUGCCCCUCGGUUUCCAUCCUGAUGCUUGGCUUCCUGGGUCCCUGGGUGCCCCCCCCAUGCCCUCUGCACCCGUUGGCCCCGCACCCCGGCACACAGCUGUGGCGUUUACGCUGGUGUCUGUUCUCCUGGGUUAGCGGGACAGUCAGGCCGGGCUGGCGGCUGGGACACUGCCCCCGCCAGGCGCCUCUUUCCCCUCGCUGCUGUGCUCGCGCUCCCUGGCCCCUCGCCUCCCCGCUGGGCAGCUGGUGUGGGGCCCCCGCCGCCACUGCCGCUUCCUCUGCUGCUGCCCCCAAACCCUGCAGGGCUCGCCUUCAGCUGGGGGAUUGGGGAGGGGGAGAUCAGAGGGCAGAGGUAUGGGGGGGUGAGGUGGGGGACAGGUGCAGGGGUGAGGUGGGGGAUAAGGGAAGGAGUGAGGUGGGAGACAGGUGGAGGGGUGAGGUAGGAGACGGGUGGAGAGGUGAGGUGGGGAUGAGUGGAGGGGUG